rnacentral:lncRNA from 1 species
UUCACUCCAGUUUCAUGGCUGACCACCUCGAGAUGGCUGUCUGGAUUCAGAUUUGCUGCGUGGCCACUACAAACCUGUCAGCUCCUGCUCCAGACUAAUAGGAGUGAUCUGAUCACUGGAGCAAGCCUGACUUCCACCCUCCCUUUCUACAUUUUCUUUUGGCCUCAGCCAUGCAUAUUGAAUCUGGCUGAGAUUGAAAUAGGACACUGAGAGUUUCACCUUUGGGAGCUAAGUCAACAUCUGUGUCCCAAGAAGAUGAUGAUAAAAGUCAAAAGAUACUCCAGAAAUUUCUUCAGGAACGCUCCAAAAUAUGUUCACAGGAUAUUUCCUUUGCUGUGACUUCUGCCAAUCUUUCGUUCAUAGAUACAUCUAAUUGUACAGAAGCUGGUGAAUGUGCCCUCUCUUCUCAAAGCCCACCACCAUUGAAGAAAGGAAAACUGGAUAUUUGGGACAGUUUCUGCCAUGGGUCGUUCAGGGUAGUUCAAUGCUCAAUUCCCUUCCUUUUUACCUUCUUUGAGUUAAGCCGGAGAUCUUGAGAGGCUUUGCUUAACACAAGAUCUAGGAGGAAAUUUAUGCAAAAACUUCUAUCCUUCCUCUUGGCUCGUCUUCAAUAGAAAUACACAAGAAGCAGCCAAGAAGCCAAUUGUAGGCUACAUAAGAGAGAUUACAGGGGCAAGGUGCCAUGCUGAACUGAGAACAAAAGCAAAGCCUGCAUGUACCUAGUUAUGUUUCAAGUGCUAAAAUUUGACCUGUGAUGUAAAAUAUAAACAUUCAAAAAAUAUUGAUAGAGGGAACCUAGCAUGGUGGAACAUACCUUUAAUCCCAGCAUUUAGAAGGCAAAGGCUUAUGGAUCUCUCUGGGUUUGAGAUUUGCCUGAUCUACACAGUGAGUUCCAGACCAGCCAGGACCACACAGUGAGGUGUGUGUGUGUGUGUGUGUGUGUGUGUGUGUGUGUGUGUGUGUGUGUGUGUAUUUGAAUCAGGCACCAAGUCUAACUCUUCAGGAAGAGACAAUGUGAUAAUCUGCUAAGAGAUUCAGUGCUUGGGAUUCCCACAUAUGCCCAAGAGGUGGGGAAAUGUAGCUACUGUGUAGCCCUGGGACCAUACUGUUUCUGGUGAAAAGUGACCCCUUAUUUAUACACAAGGAGACACACACAUAUAAAGCAGGAAGCAUUGCUGAUUAGAUAUUGCUGAGCCUUGCCCUAAUGGUGCAAAUGGCAUUUGUUUGAUAUGGCUGAGAAAGUUUUGUGAUUCUGGGCUCAUUGCCAGGCGUCAGCAUGUCAUUGCUGAAGGUCCAUAGAUGCCCUUCCAGAAAGAGCCAUUUCCCUUUUUAGCUCAGCUGUUUUGUGGCAGGAAUGAAUGUCUAUGGGCAGCACUGCCUCAUUCUUCUCUAUGGACAGGAAGGUCAGACAAAGCUUGGGUGUGGUGAAAGCCUCUGAAGUGGGAUGGACAACAAGCCAUUCCCCCAUUGGAAUAUCAUUAUAUUAAGUUCAUUAGAAUCUUUAGUAUAGGAAGCCAAGGGCAUGUUUGGCUGGGGUGGUGUCCCACAGUGGCCCCAGUCAUUUCCAAAAACCAAACACAAAGAAAUGUCAUCCCGUUAACAAGAACAUGCAUUUCUCUGUGUACUCACUUUAAGUCUACAUAUCAAAGAGGGAAAGUCAGGUACAGGAUAAGAGGUACAUAGGUACAGUGUGCUGCAAUUUGAACAUGAAGAAACAUGGAUGGAUAUGAAUAUUUAUAAAUUCAAAGGUAAGGCCAUCUCUAGGGAGACUCAAGAAACUGAUAAUCACGGUUGCCUUUUCACAGGGAGAUUCUGUUACUAUAAGAUAUGAAAUUAAACUUGAACAUAAAAUACCAAUGCAAAAUAGGAAUCAAUAAAAAUUAGAAAGUAAUGAUAAUAAAACACAACUGAAACAAGACUUGGUGGUUACAUGUGCAACCCCAGCACUCAGGAGAUAGAUCAAGGAAGGUCAGAAGUUCAAGGUCAGUUCAUGAGCUACAGGAGACCUUAUCUACAGAAGGAGAGAAGGGAGAAAGGAAGGAAGGAAGAAGGAAGGGAAGGAGACAGGAGGGAAAGGAAGGGGAA